GACGAACGCUGGCGGCGUGCUUAACACAUGCAAGUCGAACGGAAAGGCCCCCUUUGGGGUACUCGUGUGGCGAACGGGUGAGUAACACGUGUGUAAACUACCCUGGUCUUCGGGCUAACUUCAGGAAACUAGGGCUAAUACCGGAUAGGAAUCCUCGCUGCAUGGUGGGGGUUGGGAAGCUGUGGGGGGUUGGGAUGGACGCGCGUCGUAUUGGCCUGUUGGUGGGGUAGUGGCUUACGAAGGCUUUGACGGGUGGCCGGCCGGAGAGGGGGACCGGCCAAAUUGGGACUGAGGUACGGGCCAGGCUCCAGCGGGGGGCAGAGGUGGGGAAGAUUGAACAAGGGGCGGCGGCCUGGUGCAGCAACGCCGGGUGUGGGAUGGCGGACUUCGGGUUGUAAACCGCGAUCAGCAGGGGCGGAGCUUGUGGUGACGGUACCGGCAGAAGAAGCACCGGCUAACUACGUG
rnacentral:rRNA from 1 species